rnacentral:misc_RNA from 1 species
AAGGAUCAUUACUGAGUUCAUGCCCUAACGGGUAGAUCUCCACCCUUGAAUACAAACUCUUGUUGCUUUGGCGGGCCGCUUCGGCUACUGGCUUCGGCUGGUGAGUGCCCGCCAGAGAACCCUAAACUUUGAAUUACAGUGUCGUCUGAGUACUAUAUAAUAGUUAAAACUUUCAACAACGGAUCUCUUGGUUCUG